rnacentral:rRNA from 1 species
CAAUAGCGUAUAUUAAAGUUGUUGCAGUUAAAAAGCUCGUAGUUGGACUUCUGGCAGGGCGCCGCGUGCCACAGUAGUGUGCACAAGGGCCCGGCCAUCCUUCUGUAAACGUCGGGGAAGUUUAUUCGUCCGCGGCGGGAUCAGUUAAUUUACCUUGAGAAAAUUAGAGUGUUUCAGGCAGGCGUAGCCGGAAUACAUUAGCAUGGAAUAAUGGAAUAGGACUUAGUCUCUUUGUUGGUUCGAGGGACUGGAGUAAUGAUUAAUAGGGAUAGUUGGGGGCAUUAGUAUUUAUUAGCUAGAGGUGGAAUUCUCUAAUUUGAUAAAGACUAACUUAUGCGAAAGCAUUUGCCAAGGAUGUUUUCAUUAAUCAAGAACGAAAGUUAGGGGAUCAAAGACGAUCAGAUACCAU